ensembl:lncRNA
GGAUACGUGUUCAGCAGUGGCACUGCCCUACUUAAUCCAAGAUGAGCAUGGCACACUCGCUGCUUUUUUUUGCAUGGGAAAGUGUGUGUAGAAUGUGUGUAGAGAGUUUGUAUGUGUGUGUGUGUGCGAGUGUGUGUUCUCUGCGUCAGUUGAUGUGUAUGUGAACCAUGGGAGGGCCGUUGAUAUGCCUAUGUGUCGGUAAAGAGUAUUGUUUUAGCACUGUAUUAUUUAUUGUGUAUAAUAUACCCCCACCCACACACCCCCCCUCAGACCACCACCACCACCACUAUGUGUUAAUUAAUGGCUUGACGUUCUCUUAGGAACUAAAGUUGUAUCUCAGUAUGUACGCGUGUUUGUGUGUGGGUGCGUGUGCGUGCAGGUGUGUUUGUACUCAUUGGUUUAUGUGCGUACAUGUGUGUGUGUGUGUGUGUGCAAAUAACCUGUAUAUGUAUGUGUGCAUGUACCGUCUGUCUGCACGUUUGUUGGCGUUUUAAGUUAAGUAUUCGUUUUCAUGGUCGAAUUUGUUACUACUAAUAUGGAUAUAAAUAAUAAUAACGAUAAUAAUAAUAAGGAAUCAUACAACCCCACAUGGGGUGACUUAAAUGUUGGACUUUUUUGUGCGUAUGUGAGUUCCUGUGUUGUAGUAGCAGCCAUACACACAUAGGCUGAGGAGCAGUGUCAGUAAGCUCUCUGUGGAAACCCGGCUCUACAAUGCAACGAAUCCUCCCCCCACCAAAAGGUUGCCAGAUUGGGCGGGAAAUCUGGCGCAAUCUGGCAAAACUGCCCCCACCUCUCCCAUGCCAUUGGUGUUCACUGUAUUACCAGUCAAGUUCUGACCCUCGCCCCCCAUAAGGAGCCCUUCCAGAUGCUGACUGGCUUGCGGUUGUGGAUAAAAAUACAAUUAAAUACAACUAAUAUAAUGAGGGAAGGAAAUCCCUAACCAUGGUGAGGUGUCAGUUUAGCUCUUUGCUGCUCAGGUGUGAAUAUAAGGCGACUGUGUGCAUCCCCCUUCACCUGUACCAGUCUCCUUCUAAAGGGGCCUGGUUCAGCCAGCAUCUGCCUCCUGCUCCUUCAGGGGGGGACGCCAGUGUUCAAGUGAUCUCUGUCGGUGUGUUUAUCGUGUUCGUGGGUCUUCUCUAUUGAAACUCUGUGCUGAUAUGUAUAUAGGUUAAUGAUAAGGUGGUAUUGUACCCUGUAAUGACCUCAUUUAAAGAAUCCUAGCGCUUUACUCGUGUAUCUGUGUCUCUAUUAUCACUUAACAAUCUCUUCUCUGGACUGCCUUACUGGCAUGGAUUGAGACGGACCGACAAAGUGUUUUCCGUGGAUGUGAAUGGUGUCGUCCACUAGAGGGCGUAGAGUACAACUGGGGAAUAAAUCAGCUGUUUAUUUUUCUCUGUGUCUCUGUUUCCCUCCUCCUCAAUAAACUUGUUCCUCAU